UCCAUCACUUUCCAGCAGUUCUGGCUGACUAGGGAGGUGCCAGUAGACUGGAGACUGGUCAAUGUGACCCCAGCUACAAGAAGAGCCAUAAGGAGGAUCCAGGGACUUGCAGGCCUAUCGGCCUGACCUCUGUGCUGGGGAAGUUCUGGAGCAGAUCAUGCUGAGGGCCAUCACAUGGUCCCCUCUCCUUUCAGCCCUCUGCUGACCAAGAGCGAACAGCCAUCUGGGACACGGUGGCUGGCUCCAUUCAAGAUCAGCUCCUGCUGCACAAGGGGCUCCGAAUUCCCAGCCUUGGCUCCUUUGACGCUGUCCCCAAACAGAUCCAAGUUGGGGGUGAGGUUGUGACCAUCCAGAGGCCUGUGUUUCACCUGGCCAGGAACCUCGUGGUUGUCCACAACCUACGGGACAACAAGUCCUACCUGCCUGGUAAGAUGGUGAAUGAAAUCUCGGAUGAUUGCAUGGUCAUUGCGUCCCAUCCCUGGGUCUGAAA